CUGCUUCAGCAGCACAUAUACUAAAACUGGAACGAUACAGAGAAGAUUAGCAUGGCCCCUGCGCUAGGAUGACACGCAAAUUCGUGAAGCAUUCCAUAUUUUU
rnacentral:snRNA from 1 species